AGGACGAACGCUGGCGGCGUGCUUAACACAUGCAAGUCGAGCGGAAAGGCCCUUCGGGGUACUCGAGCGGCGAACGGGUGAGUAACACGUGAGCAAUCUGCCCUUAGCUUCGGGAUAGCUCCGGGAAACCGGAAUUAAUACCGAAUACGACUACGGCCGACAUCGGCCAUGGUGGAAAGUUUUUCGGCUAGGGAUGAGCUCGCGGCCUAUCAGCUUGUUGGUGGGGUAAUGGCCCACCAAGGCGACGACGGGUA
rnacentral:rRNA from 1 species